UAUGCGUGAUAGCCCGGUGGGCGUCUCUGCUCCGCUGCGCAAACUAAAUGCUGUGUGUGUUUUGUGCCACUUAAAAUAUUUCUAAAUUAUGCCAGGGGACUAUUUUUAGGGAAUAUUGAGAUUUCGGAAUAUCUGGCUUUCGGAACACUGGGCCGUCCCCCUCCCGGACUAGAGACAAAUUAAAUAAAAGAUGGAGGAAGAAGUCACUGAUUUGCGGGUCCAGUCCAGCAACUUCCUUCACCAAUGGUCAUCGUCAGAUAUAGCGCGUUUUAUCCAGGCCAGAGGGGAGGCAGAGAGUCUUUUCACAGGACAACGCAACAGUUUGAUGGAGGGGUGGAAACAGGUACUCAGUUCCAUUAGCCUUGCGACCGUGGUCAGCCCACUUCAGGCCAGAAAGAAGUGGGACAACCUGGAAGAAAAGUAUUUGGAGCUGAAGUGCCCACCUAUAGGGGCAGAGACAGACAACGGGGAGGACGCAGCUGCCUCGUGGCCAUGGUACCCUGCCAUGGAUGCGCUGCUUGGCCAGAGGCACUCCAUCACACCACCCGUGCUGCGUGCCUCUAUGGCCUGCAGCUCCUCCAUGGCAGGGCCUUAUUCCACAGGUGCCAUCAUGUCCUCCCCACCACCGAGAGAGGAGAGGCAGGAAGGAAGGGGAAGGAAGCGGCGCUAUACCAUGGCUUUCCUUUUGGAGAUGAUGGAAAGAGGUCUGGCCCGGGAGGAGGAGCGUCAGCGGAAGGAGGAGGAGCGUCAGCAGAAGGUUGACGAAAGAUUGGAAAGACUGCUGACAAUUAUGGAGCGACUUGCAGAGA
ensembl:lncRNA